GAUGAAGAACGCAGCGAAAUGCGAUAAGUAGUGUGAAUUGCAGAAUUCAGUGAAUCAUCGAAUCUUUGAACGCACAUUGCGCCCCUUGGUAUUCCAUGGGGCAUGCCUGUUCGAGCGUCAUUUGUACCCUCAAGCACUGCUUGGUGUUGGGUGUUUGUCCCGCUUUGCGCGUGGACUCGCCUUAAAGCAAUUGGCAGCCGGCAGAUUGGCCUGGAUCGCGAGCACAUUUUGCGACCUUGUCAUAACUGUCUGGCACCCAUCAAGACUAUUUUUUGCUCUUGACCUCGGAUCAGGUAGGGAUACCCGCUGAACUUAAGCAUAUCAAUAAGCGGAGGA
rnacentral:misc_RNA from 1 species